ensembl:lncRNA
GGCAGCAGGGCCCUUCCUCACUCCACUCCUGUCUCAGUGGAGGGGCUGAGGGGGCAGAGGGGAUUCUGUGAGGAGGCGAUAGUGCCGGGAGCUGUUGAGACCCAGCAGCUUAGGGCUGUGCUACCCAGGGUGGUCCCAGAAGACCGCCAAUUGACGUAAAGGGCCUUGAGUCGGCUGAUGUAUUGGAACCCCUGACCUGGGGCCAAGCCCCCAUCCCCAGCCCUGUUGCCGAGACGGGAAUCUGCACGUCUUGUGUCACAGCAAGCAGGACGCUGGUGGCGGCAGGAAGAGAAAAUAUUCGAGGAGGAGGUGACAGGUUGUGCUCAGGUCCCUGCAGUGGCUGAGGCCUUGGCGUCCAGCCCAGAGCAGAGCGGACUGCAGCGGGAGAGAAAGAGCGAAGGCUGCCGGGUCUCGCCCGGCUCCAUGCUCACCCCUGCACAAACCGAGCGGAUCAUGCCCCCUUCCAGCCCCUGUGUGAGCACCUACCAUCUGGGAGCGGAGCAUCGACCUCGUUCUUCCAAGCCAUGUGAAGGCAAAUCUAGCGAAUUUGCUGAGCAUUGCUCAAUCGACAAAUACUUACUGGGUACACUUUGCCUUUUUAGGUAUAUCUGGUACCUCCUAGAAGAGAGCAGAGGAAGGAGGAAGCUGAGGCUCAGAGAAAUGGAAUGGAUUUCCCCAAAGCCAGAACUCAAAGCCAGAUCUGACCGACCGUAAAUCCCAACCAUUGACACCAGUCAGAAAUCACAAUGAAGCCAGAAAGCAGUGUGGUCAGUGGUACCGCAGCAUCAUUGCCUGAACUGGUGACUAAGACGGACGACUGCUGUCAAGAGCAGGAAGUCUGUGGGUCUCUGGCAUGCUACCUGCUCUGCCUGGUAACUGAAGGCUCCUGCAUCUCAGCUAAGCCAGGAAGCAAAGGUGGACCUGUCAGCCUUGGUUCCUCUUCCAGGUGGCCCCCAAGCUUGGAUCACACCCAGCAUCCCUUCAUCCAUCCACCUCGCCUCUUCCUCACCACCCACUACCAGUAAUCCAACGUGCAUAGUUGUAAACUUGUUUCUUUAAAUAAACAGUCUUGAGUUUCAUACCAAAUAGUCUUUUAAGAGGAGGAACGUCUCCAG